AGUGAACGCUGGCGGUAGGCCUAACACAUGCAAGUCGAACGGCAGCACAGUAAGAGCUUGCUCUUACGGGUGGCGAGUGGCGGACGGGUGAGGAAUACAUCGGAAUCUACUUUUUCGUGGGGGAUAACGUAGGGAAACUUACGCUAAUACCGCAUACGACCUACGGGUGAAAGCAGGGGAUCUUCGGACCUUGCGCGAUUGAAUGAGCCGAUGUCGGAUUAGCUAGUUGGCGGGGUAAAGGCCCACCAAGGCGACGAUCCGUAGCUGGUCUGAGAGGAUGAUCAGCCAAAAUUGAAAUGGGAAAAGGUCCAGACUCCUAAGGGAGGCAGGAGUUGGGAAUAUUGGAAAAUGGGGGGAAGGCUGAUCCAGGCAAACCGCGUGGGUGAAAAAGGCCUUCGGGGUUUAAAGCCCUUUUGUUGGGAAAGAAAAGCAGCAGGUUAAUACCCCGCUGUUCUGACGGUACCCAAAGAAUAAGCACCGGCUAACUUCGUG
rnacentral:rRNA from 1 species